rnacentral:pre_miRNA from 1 species
ACCUUUUCAAGUUUGCACUCCUAUGGCGCUCCGUAUGAAGCAGUGCAAUAUUGAAAAAGGGUAC